ensembl:snRNA U6 U6 spliceosomal RNA
GUGCUCACAUAUACUAAAACUGGAACAAUACAGAGAUGACUAGCAUGGCCCCUGCACGAGGAUGACACGAAAAUUGGUGAAGUGUUCCAUAUUUAA